UGACGGCCGUAUCAUGUUGAAACACCGGUUCUCAUACGAUCACCGAAGUUAAGCAGUAUCGAGCCUGCUCGAUAUCUAGAUGAGUCACCGCUUAGGAAUGUCAGGUGUUGUAAG